UUUUUUUCCUCUCUACUUUUUAUGACGUAGGAGUGGCUGAAUUCGUCGUGGGAGUGGCUUCGGCUGCAGGAGCCUACCCCAUGUAUGUGCAUGUGUUAUACUAUGAUUUGAGGAGUUGUCCUGAUUGCCCGCAAACGCCAGGGAAAUCCACAACGCGCAGAUGAUGAUGACGAUACCGGACUGUCGUUGUCUUCCUCACUGGUGUGAGCAGCGAAGCCAAGUCAAACUCAAACUCAACUACACUUGGCGUGUGACUGUUAGGAGAGCAUUGACGACUCAGGGCUUGGCAUCGGGCCCGUGGCCAGUGUUUUGUACGGGCUAGGAAGAUAUAUGCCAGUGUUAUGUACGGGCACGAGAGCGGUUUGAUCUAUCACUUGACAGAGGAAGAUUUAUUUUGAGUGCAACCCAUACCCUUUUUCUCUCCCUUUUUAAUUAAUAUGUAUUAUUUUCUCGGUGAUGGCGGACAGCGAUGAGACAUUCUCGAACUACGGUGUCGUGUAUCUCAACUGAAGUGUACAUUACGAGAGAAGGCGCAAUGACAGAUGGCAGGACACUACAAGAUCGAGGUAGAAAUAAAAAUUCAGCUACCUGUCAAACCGCAACAUGCGUUAGGAGUUCAUGAGCAGGUAAGCGAGUGACUCGUCAUCAAUCACGUACGUAUCGCCGACGUUUUCAA